GAAAAAUUUUUGUUUUUAGUAUACUUAUUAGAAAAGUCUUUUUUAGUAAUAGUUAACUAGUACUGUGAAGGAAUUUUGAAAUAGUUUGAAAAUAUUUAUUUGGUAAAGUAUAUUUUAUUUUUAUUACCUUUUGUAUCAGGGUUAAUCUAAUUUAUUUAAUUUAUUUUUAUUUCUCGAUUUUAUAAGAGCUAAUAAGUUUAAUUUGGUUAUUGUAGCAUAACUAUCAAUAAUAUUUAUUAGGGGAGAAAUUUUAUUCGUUUAUAAGGGUAUCUAGUUUUUUAAGAAAUAAAUUUAAUUUACUUCUAAAAUUUACUUUUUUCUUUUUGAUAAUUUAUUUUUUAGGUUAAAGAAUAUAGGGGAUGAGCUCUAUAUUUUUCUAUAAAUUGUAUUAUUACUAAAUUUAGUAGGACUAGAAUCAUCCAUCUUUAAAUUACGUUAUAGUUUAUUUUAGUUGUUAUUGGAUUUUCUAUCUUUUAGUUUUUUAUUAAAAUAAUUUAUAUAAUUUUAUUAUAAAUGUAAUAAUGAUUAAAUUAGUAUAAUAUUGUUGUCUGUUUUCUAUUAUUAUUUAUAUAUAAUUAAGGAACUCGGCAAAUCUAAUUUUCGCUUGUUUAUCAAAAACAUGUCCUCUUGGUUUUUUAGGAGGUCUAGCCUGCCCAGUGAAGAUUUUAACGGCCGCGGUAUUCUGACCGUGCAAAGGUAGCAUAAUCAUUAGUCUUUUAAUAGAAGGCUGGAAUGAAAGGUUUAACGAAAAAUUAGCUGUCUCAAUUAUAAGUUUGAAUUUAGCUUUUAAGUCAAAAGGCUUAAAUUUUAUUGAUGGACGAGAAGACCCUAUAGAGCUUUACAUUUUAAUUUAAUACAUUUAUUUGGAUUGAUAAUUUGAAUUUAUUUGCUUAAAUGUUUUGUUGGGGUGACAAGAAAUACAUGAUUAACUUUUUUAUUUAAUAAACAUUAAUAUAUGAUUAUUGGAUCCAUUAUUAUUGAUCAUUAGACUAAGUUACCUUAGGGAUAACAGCGUAAUCUUCCUUCAGAGUUCAAAUUUACAGGAAGGCUUGCGACCUCGAUGUUGGAUUAAGAUAAUAAUUAGGUGCAGUAGCUUAAUUAAUAGGUCUGUUCGACCUUUAAAUUCUUACAUGAUCUGAGUUCAGACCGGUUUAAGCCAGGUCGGUUUCUAUCCUCAAUAUUUAUUUAGUUUUUAGUACGAAAGGACCAUUACUAGAAAAUAUUUUUUUAUUUUUUGAUUAUUAUUAGCUAUUUUGGCAGAAAAGUGUCAUGAAUUUAGAAUUCAUU
rnacentral:rRNA from 1 species